rnacentral:rRNA from 1 species
AGUUAGUGGCGGACGGGUGAGUAACACGUGGGAACGUGCCUUUAGGUUCGGAAUAACUCAGGGAAACUUGUGCUAAUACCGAAUGUGCCCUUCGGGGGAAAGAUUUAUCGCCUUUAGAGCGGCCCGCGUCUGAUUAGCUUGUUGGUGGGGUAAUGGCCCACCAAGGCUACGAUCAGUAGCUGGUCUGAGAGGAUGACCAGCCACAUUGGGACUGAGACACGGCCCAAACUCCUACGGGAGGCAGCAGUGGGGAAUCUUGCGCAAUGGGCGAAAGCCUGACGCAGCCAUGCCGCGUGUAUGAUGAAGGUCUUAGGAUUGUAAAAUACUUUCACCGGUGAAGAUAAUGACUGUAGCCGGAGAAGAAGCCCCGGCUAACUUCGUGCCAGCAGCCGCGGUAAUACGAAGGGGGCUAGCGUUGCUCGGAAUUACUGGGCGUAAAGGGAGCGUAGGCGGACAUUUAAGUCAGAGGUGAAAUCCCGGAGCUUAACUUCGGAACUGCCUUUGAUA